rnacentral:rRNA from 1 species
UAACAACGUGGGUAACCGUCGCCCUGAUGAUCGGGACAACCCGAGGAAACUCGGGCUAAUACCGAAUGUGCCCUCCGGCCAUAAGGCCACUGGGGAAAGGAAGCUUCGGCCUCCGCAUCGGGAUGGGCCCGCGGCCCAUUAGCUUGUUGGUGAGGUAACGGCUCACCAAGGCAAUGAUGGGUAGCUGGUCUGAGAGGACGAUCAGCCACACUGGGACUGAGACACGGCCCAG